rnacentral:rRNA from 1 species
UGGGGAAUAUUGGACAAUGGGCGAAAGCCUGAUCCAGCCAUGCCGCGUGUGUGAAGAAGGUCUUCGGAUUGUAAAGCACUUUAAGUUGGGAGGAAGGGCAGUAAGCGAAUACCUUGCUGUUUUGACGUUACCGACAGAAUAAGCACCGGCUAACUCUGUGCCAGCAGCCGCGGUAAUACAGAGGGUGCAAGCGUUAAUCGGAAUUACUGGGCGUAAAGCGCGCGUAGGUGGUUCGUUAAGUUGAAUGUGAAAGCCCCGGGCUCAACCUGGGAACUGCAUCCAAAACUGGCGAGCUAGAGUAGGGCAGAGGGAGGUGGAAUUUCCUGUGUAGCGGUGAAAUGCGUAGAUAUAGGAAGGAACACCAGUGGAGAAGGCGACCACCUGGGCUCAUACUGACACUGAGGUGCGAAAGCGUGGGGAGCAAACAGG